GCUCAUAACUUUUGCUCAAGUGAAGCUGAGUUUCCUCACGGUAAAUUACAGAAUCGAAGAGAAGUCGAAGUAAUCUAGUUUCGUCCUAAUAACAGACGUGUUAUUACUCACUAUGCCUGGUUCAACUCAGCUGUUUUCUCUUGUUGCUGGUCUUUUGGUUGGAAAUAUCUUUGGUGUGUAUCUAGCUCAAACGUAUGAGCUGCCAGAUCUUCAUAAUGCCAUGGAAUAUCUAUUUUCCAAAGCACAGGAAUAUGAGAAACCGCCUAAAAAGUCAGAUGAUGACAAAGACAAGUGACUGUGGAGAAGCUUUUGCCUUUAAGAUCAAAGUCAGCAGCGAGACAGGAACCAGAAGAAGCAUUCUUGUUGGUCAGAGUGAAAUGGACUAAAAAUUUAAGCAUGUCCCUCAACUGAGAGAAUUAUUCCCUAGAUUUGACCAACAUCAAGACAGAAAAGCAUUGUUUUUUUCUCUAGCCCCGAGAUAUGACAAAUAUGUUACUAAUUUCGUUUUCUCGCUCCGCACUGUUCGUUACGAAACCUCUUUUUUUUCCACUCGGAUUUACGGCCCGCACGCUUCACUCUUGGGUGAUGAAUCUGAGGAGAAAAACUUGGUCCAUAACUUACGGUGCUGACUUGGACUAGGUUAGUAAGAGGUAUACACAAGGUGGACCUCAAUGGCCCCGUAUUCUUUAGUUGCUUUCUGUAAUGAUUAGAUUUAGCGCCUGGGACACCUAUUUACUUAUGGUACCUCAAGGGAAGACGCUUAUUGCAGACAGGGCGCCUAGUUCUUUUUUGAGAAACAGCAGAAUAAGCAAAACAAAGCUUUACUGUUAAUUUGAAAAUGAUCAAGAAUACUGGAAAACGGACUUAACUUUUAGCAAUCUGAUCGGAGAAGAAAGUUUAUCGUACAAUGUAACACAGAGCCCAAUUUCAAUUGUAUUAGUUUCUAUUGCUAAAAAUAAGAAAUAUACUCCAUGCAAUCAUCUUCCGAUAUCCCACCAGGGCGAGGUUGUUCAGCAUUUUGAUUUUAACCAACCAAGGGUUCUGUAUAGUUUUGUUUACGGUCACCUCGGUACCAAGUUAUCUCGCCACCAAGAAGUCGACACGCCACCGACCAUCUCGCCACCAAGAAGUUGAGUUGCCACCAGCCAAACUAUGAACUAAAUUGAAUGUAUCAACAAAGUUGAAAUGGUAAAUUGGCCACCGUUACGAUUAUAAAAGCUGACGUUUCGC